GACGAACGCUGGCGGCGUGCUUAACACAUGCAAGUCGAACGGAAAGGCCCUGCUUUUGUGGGGUGCUCGAGUGGCGAACGGGUGAGUAACACGUGAGUAACCUGCCCUUGACUUUGGGAUAACUUCAGGAAACUGGGGCUAAUACCGGAUAGGAGCUCCUGCUGCAUGGUGGGGGUUGGAAAGUUUCGGCGGUUGGGGAUGGACUCGCGGCUUAUGAGCUUGUUGGUGAGGUAGUGGCUUACCAAGGCUUUGACGGGUAGCCGGCCUGAGAGGGUGACCGGCCACAUUGGGACUGAGAUACGGCCCAGACUCCUACGGGAGGCAGCAGUGGGGAAUAUUGCACAAUGGGCGGAAGCCUGAUGCAGCAACGCCGCGUGCGGGAUGACGGCCUUCGGGUUGUAAACCGCUUUCGCCUGUGACGAAGCGUGAGUGACGGUAAUGGGUAAAGAAGCACCGGCUAACUACGUG
rnacentral:rRNA from 1 species